rnacentral:rRNA from 1 species
CCCUUAGAUGUUCUGGGCUGCACGCGCGCUACACUGGUGCGUUCAGCGAGUUUAGCACCUUAACAGAUAUGUUUGGGUAAUCUUCUGAAAACGCACCGUGAUGGGGAUCGAUUAUUGUAAUUAUUAAUCGUCAACGAGGAAUUCCUAGUAAGUGUGAAUCAUCAGUUCGCGCUGAUUACGUCCCUGCCCUUUGUACACACCGCCCGUCGCUGCUACCGAUUGAGUGGUCCUGUGAAUUAUUCGGACCGGUGGACUGUGGGGAAACCCGCGGCCUGCUGGGAAGUCUUGUGAACCUUAUCACUUAGAGGAAGCAGAAGGCGUAACA